GGCUCAGGACGAACGCUUGCGGCGUGCCUAAGAAAUGCAAGUCGAGCGAAGUCCAGGGUGCUUGCACCCGAAGACUUAGCGGCGAACGGUCGCGUAACACGUAAGCAACCUGCCCUAAAGACGGGGAUAGCCCACCGAAAGGUGGAUUAAUACCGGAUGUGAACACUUAUUCGCAUGUAUUAGUGUUUAAAGCAGCGAUGCGCUUUAGGAUGGGCUUGCGGCCUAUCAGUUAGUUGGUGUGGUAACGGCUCACCAAGACGACGACGGGUAGCCGGUCUGAGAGGAUGACCGGCCGGAUCGGGACUGAGAUACGGCCCGGACUCCUACGGGGGGCAGCAAUUAGGAAUCUUGCGCAAUGGGCGAAAGCCUGACGCCAGCGACGCCGCGUGACUGAUGAAGUCCUUCGGGAUGUAAAAGUCUUUUCUCGGUGAAGAAGGAUGUGACUGUAGCCGAGGAAUAAGCUCCGGCUAACUACGUGCCAGCCGCCGC
rnacentral:rRNA from 1 species